rnacentral:lncRNA from 1 species
GAUGGGGCUGGAGGGAGCUGGGAUGGGGCUGGAGGGAGCUGGGAUGGGGCUGGAGGGAGCUGGGAUGCUCCUGAACUGGGAACACAGUUUGACUCCUUAGGGAUCAGAUUAUCUGGGAUGCACUCAAGGAAAGCUGUGGAGCAUCCCAGCGAAUCCCAGAGCUCUCCCGAGGUGACUCUGCUCCCAGAAUCCCCCCUGGAGCAGCACAAGGGGAGGGGCAGGAUUUGGGGGAAGGGAGGGGGCCCAGGAGGUGUUUCCCACGAGCAACAUCCCAACACUCAGCCUGGGAGCUCAGGGUUUACCUGGAAUUCUGAGACACCUGGAGAUGCCCCUUAGACCCUUUAAAUCCUGGAAUGGUUUGGGUGGGAAGGGCCCUUAAAUCCCAUCCAAUCCCACCCCUGCCAUGGGCACCUUCUGCUAUCCCAGGCUGCUCCGAGCUCUGGCCAACCUCACCUUGAGCACUUCCAGGGAUGGAGCAUCCAGAGCUUCUCUGGGCACCAAACCUGGAUUGAUCCUGGACCCAACCAGCCAGAAACACCCCAAACCAUCCCUAAAUUCCCCAAAAACGUGCACAAACAGCCAAACUCAGCCCUCGGAGACACCGAUCCCGUCGCUUUUCCAGCUCUCCUCAAACCUUCUCCCUGCAAACCUUCACUCCCCCAUUCCCAAGCAGCUUUGACAGGGAAGUCAUUCAUCUGAAAAUCCAUAAAAACCCUUCCAGGCUCCCAGACUUUGCCACCAACGGAUUUAACUCUUCCACAGCCUCGCUUUUGUUCCUGGAUGGAAAACCCCCGGGAUCCAUGGGAGCAGCACCUCCUUCCAGGAAGCAAAGGGCCCUGGGGGGCCCUCACUGUACCCGGGAUGGGAGAGCACCUGGGAAGGAGAUUCCAGCUGGGUGGCACCGCUUUGGGACACGAGGAUCCAAGUUUUCACAUGCUCUUGGCUUCCCCCUCCCAAAGGAAGCUGGUUAAUCCCACUGGGAAUCCCACCAGCAGGAAUGCUGAAGGUAAAAAUGGGGUGCAAUGGGGAAAGGGCUCCCAGCAGCCAGAGGGAAGGGAUGGGAGGAGAGAGGGGCUGG